rnacentral:rRNA from 1 species
AGAGUUUGAUCCUGGCUCAGAUUGAACGCUGGCGGCAUGCCUAACACAUGCAAGUCGCACGCGAAAGGGGGCAACCCCGAGUAGAGUGGCGGACGGGUGCGUAAUACGCAGGAAUCUACCCACGAGUGGGGGACAACCCGGGGAAACCCGGGCUAAUACCGCAUGAGACCUACGGGUGAAAGCGGGGGAUCGCAAGACCUCGCGUUGGUGGAUGAGCCUGCGUCCGAUUAGCUAGUUGGUAGGGUAAAAGCCUACCAAGGCAACGAUCGGUAGCUGGUCUGAGAGGACGACCAGCCACACUGGGACUGAGACACGGCCCAGACUCCUACGGGAGGCAGCAGUGGGGAAUAUUGGACAAUGGGGGCAACCCUGAUCCAGCAAUGCCGCGUGUGUGAAGAAGGCCUUCGGGUUGUAAAGCACUUUCGAUGGGGACAAACGUGUCGGGCUUAAUACGUCCGGCCUUGAUGGUACCCAGAGAAGAAGCACCGGCUAACUCUGUGCCAGCAGCCGCGGUAAUACAGAGGGUGCAAGCGUUAAUCGGAAUUACUGGGCGUAAAGCGUGCGUAGGUGGUUGGAUAAGUCAGGUGUGAAAUCCCCGAGCUCAACUUGGGAAUUGCGCUUGAUACUGUCCGGCUAGAGUGUGGUAGAGGGUAGUGGAAUUCCGCAUGUAGCGGUGAAAUGCGUAGAUAUGCGGAGGAACAUCAGUGGCGAAGGCGGCUACCUGGACCAACACUGACACUGAGGCACGAAAGCGUGGGUAGCAAACAGGAUUAGAUACCCUGGUAGUCG